rnacentral:lncRNA from 1 species
GUGAAACUCCGUCUCAAAAAAAAAAAAAAGAAAAAAGAAAAAAGAAAAAAAGAUCAAAAGUCCAUCAUUAUGCGUUUGACCUGAAUCUCUCUCUCUGGCAUCAGUUCAGUUGGAGCCCCCAGAACCCGGAGGCAGCUCUGCAACUGGCAGUGCACACAUCCCCCUGGGUGCCAGCUCCAGGGCCAGCUCACGGGGACGUGUGGAUCCAGCUUCCUUCCACUAAGAGCCAGUCGGGCUCAUCCAUCCAGGGCUGUUCCGAGGUUGGGGUGUGUAGGACAAACUUGCCAGCAGAUCCAAUUAAAGGAGCAAUGCUAGAUGCGCUGAUGCACACACAGGGGACAUGAAACCAUGCACUCGGCCUGUGUGUGCUGCCCUUGAAAACCGCCCUGAUGUGAUCAGGCGUUGCUUACUUGAAGAAUAACCACAGCAACACAUGGAUGAAAAGAGAAGAACGCUUUUUACAAAACUCUCCUGGGGACAGAAUGGUUGUGAGUGCAAGGGACAACUCCGAUGCAAAGUGGUUGUCUUCUCAAGCCACCUGGGGCCUCAUUGUCCUCCUCCUUGUUCCUCCCGGGACUCCACCCACUCCCACACAAGGCGCUCUGGGUUUCUUUCUUUAAUGCCGUAAUUUUCUUUUCUUUUCUUUUUUGAGACAAAGUCUCACUCUGUCACCAGUUUGGAGUGCUGUGGCACAAUCUGGGCUCACUGCAACCUCCACCUUCCGGGUUCAAGCGAUUCUGCUACCUCAGCCUCCCGCAAUGCCGUAAUUUUCAAUGUAGGGCCAUCCUUCCUCUUCAUCACCCCAGUGCUAUGGGCACAUAUUUACUGAGCAGUGGCAGCUCUUUCACCUAGAGAUGCACAGGGAGCAGCCCUGAGUCUAAUUUUCCUGCUGCGUCAGCCUUGCCUUUGCUAACCAGAGUGACAUUCUGGGUGGACCUUUGGGGCCCGCCCCCCAGUUUUUACCAUAGAGCCAGUUCUCAGCCACUGGCUCGCCUCUUACAGUCUUAGAAAUUUAGAGCUGAAGGAGCUGUGCAGGUCACCGCUUUCAACUCCUAGUUAUAGAGUUGAGGAACUAGGCUGGAAAGAGUGAAGGACUUUGUGACUAUUACGUGGACAGCAAGGAAGACGUUUCUGAACCUGUGACACCUGCUGGGAAGGAGGAACACAGGCACACGGCUCCAUGACUAUUCUCUCUUCCAGUGCCUUCUGCUCAACCCUGGAGCCCUGUGGACGGGGAAAAACGAUCUGCUUCUCAUAAAGUAAAAUGCUUUAGAAGCUCAGAGAAAGAGUCUUACCUAAAUAAAUAGAUGAAUAAAGAUAUUUGUAGAGAUACUAAUGGUAUUUGUACUUUUGUAAAGCAAACUGCCUUUUCUUUUCUGUUCUAGGUUCAUUCUUGUUAAUCCAUAUUAAAGAGUUUUCUGAGGGCUAAAACGUUGCCUGAUAAGGGAUUUGGGAGGUUUGUAUCAUAAGGGAUUCUUGAAGGCCAAAACAGCUCUCAAGACUCAAAGGAAUGAACUUGAGGAAGUGGAAAUCAAACUCACUGCUGUUCAAUUCCACCAGGCCCCCUUCCAGCCCAGAACUGUGCUGUUGGUGUGCAGGGGCCAGCCAGGACUCGGUUGACUCCCCAGCUGACAUCAUCAUGUGACCACCUACCAGAAAGACUUAGAGCCAGGAGCCUCGGGGCUCUUCGCACCCAGGUCUUUAGAGCUCCUGGCAUCUCAGCAGUGUUCUUUCUAGUAACGCACCCACUCCUCUGGUCCCACUGCUGCUGGGAACAGCUCAAAGGUAGAGCUGUGACCGUGGAUCUCAAAGGCACCCAACCACGAGUCAGUCCUUUGGGGACGUGGGUUUUGUCAGCUCUCCUGAGCUGGCCCACUCUGGUGCCACCUGUGGGAAGAAGGACAGGAACCCACACAUCUGCUCAGGCCAGCCCCUUGCUCCAAACCCUUCAGGGCUUUUCUGUGCCUGUUCACGUAUCUCAUCCUGGGUUCCAUGUGAACACUUGUCUUCCUGAAGGAUUGAUUUUAUUUAAAGUUCUAGUGGAAAAAGACUACACCAUUAUUUUUCAUUUUAAUUAUGGAAAAAAGCAAAAUUUCCUUGAAUUCCAGGAUAAUACAGGAACUUUGGCUCUUCAUGUUAUUGCUACCUGUUAAGGGGGACCGAGUUUAGUUUCCUGUAACAAUGGGGCCCCUUUAGGGGAAGUGUAAGGAGAAACAGGACAAAACCUUCACUCCUGAUGGCCUCCAGGCCCUCCAAGGUUUGACCUUGCCACAUGCACAGCCUCCUCUCCCUGCACUGGAAGACCUCGGGGCCACGCUGAGUCCCGGAGACGCCCUGUGUGCCCUCGGACCUGCCGCUCCUGCACGCCUGGCUCCUCUGACCACCAAAUGACCCCAGAGUGAAGAAGGCACAUCAGGCUCCUAUUAAUGUGGCCACAGAUUCACACAUUUGCUUGAUGAAAGCCUAGUGCAAAGGAAUAGAGUCUUAUUGUGGACUUGGAAACCUCCUAGUUAUUUAGAUGUGAACUCACGCUUUUGCUCAUCUCUGGGAAACACAGCACAUUUUUUUAAAGUACAUCUUGCAUCAUGGAUUGAAAGGCUAAGACCUUACCAUUAGAUCUAGCAUGAAGCCCUCACCCAUGCCGUGUAACUCUACAUUUACUCCUUCCUUCCAUCUUCAGGGGAAAAGAAGCAGGGGCUGAUAAAACAAGCAGAGAAGGCCCAGGGUCGGUUUAUUGACUUCUAAGGACUAUUGGUCUUUUGCAGUGAAGGAAAAAAAAAAAAUGCCUUAGGACCUGCUAGGUGCUAAUUUGACCUGGCAAUGAGGUAAAGUUAGGCUUUGGCUGUCUUCAACCUCCUAGGAUCGGAAUGCCAUCUACUUAGCAUAGGAGUCAGACAAUUCCCUGGCAAUAGAUCGCUUUCCACUUGUGCAGCUACUGAAUAAAUAGCAAAGUAAUUAACAGUGUGCUAUGGCUAGAUGUAUCAGGUGGAAUUUCAUUACAGCAGAAAGAACUGAGAGAAUGAAGGAGUCAUUUUGUGUCCACCGUCAGGUGAAUCGUUUGUGCUUUCUUUCACUAGGAUGGACAGGUUAUCUCUGCUUUUCUUCAAGAAGAGAAAUUUCUGAAUUCCCUAUCAUAUCUUCACUUUGAUCAAGGGGAAAGGAAGAAAAGAAAACUCUUAAGUGCCUAAAAUUGGUCCAAAAAUAAAGAAUUCUUCUCAUUUUUCCAUUUAAUGAUUUUGUUCCUGAAACCUAUGG